GGAAUUUUGGACAAUGGGGGCAACCCUGAUCCAGCCAUUCCGCGUGAGUGAAGAAGGCCUUCGGGUUGUAAAGCUCUUUCGCAAGGGAAGAAAACUUAUGAUCGAAUAAAUCAUGAGGUUGACGGUACCUUGAUAAGAAGCACCGGCUAACUACGUGCCAGCAGCCGCGGUAAUACGUAGGGUGCGAGCGUUAAUCGGAAUUACUGGGCGUAAAGCGUGCGCAGGCGGUUUUGUAAGUCGGAUGUGAAAUCCCCGGGCUCAACCUGGGAACUGCGUUCGAAACUGCAAGGCUAGAGUGUGUCAGAGGGGGGUAGAAUUCCACGUGUAGCAGUGAAAUGCGUAGAGAUGUGGAGGAAUACCAAUGGCGAAGGCAGCCCCCUGGGAUAACACUGACGCUCAUGCACGAAAGCGGGGGGAGCAAACAGGAUUAGAUACCCUGGUAGUCCACGCCCUAAACGAUGUCAACUAGUUGUUGGUAGAGUAAAAUCUAUGAGUAACGUAGCUAACGCGUGAAGUUGACCGCCUGGGGAGUACGGUCGCAAGAUUAAAACUCAAAGGAAUUGACGGGG
rnacentral:rRNA from 1 species